CAAUAGCGUAUAUUAAAGUUGUUGCAGUUAAAAAGCUCGUAGUUGGAUUUCUGGUUGAAGCGACCGGUCGGGCGUUGAUUCGUCUGCACUGGAGUCGGUUUUGGCCAUCCUCUAGGAAAGUGCGUCUGGUAUUAAGUUAUCGGGCGUAUGAUCCUGGUCUUUUACUGUGAAAAAAUUAGAGUGUUUAAAGCAGGCCUUCGCCUUGAAUACAUUAGCAUGGAAUAAUAAGAUAGGACUUUGGUGCUAUUUUGUUGGUUGAGCCUAAAGUAAUGAUUAAUAGGGAUAGUUGGGGGCACCUGUAUUGCGUUGUCAGAGGUGAAAUUCUUGGAUUUACGCAAGACAAACAGCUGCGAAAGCGUCUGCCAAGGAUGUUUNCAUUA
rnacentral:rRNA from 1 species